rnacentral:lncRNA from 1 species
GCGAACCUGGCCUGAGACCCCGGAUACUUGAGUUUUCGGGGGUCUAACAUUUUGGGGGCUCGUCCGGGAUUUGCGACCACCCUUCACCUGAGUGGAUUCGAUCUUGGAGGUUUCUGCUUCUGGCUGACAUCUGAGUAUCAGUUGCUAACUACAGGCUGUUCUAAGUAGACUGCGAGCCCUGGACUUGCUGUGGAUGUGAACCAGUCCAGCUGAUAUGGACACCCCCUGUCUCUACAACAGUGUCUGCUACCCAGAAGCCCCUGAUGAAUUCCCCAUUGCCUAAAUCCCUUUUUGCUUUUGACUAGCAUUUCAACCUUCUGGGGUCCCUAACUUCGUCCCAAAGUCAGCAGGAAGCAGUUUAGAAAAGAAUUUCGACGUCCAUUUUCCCUGGUUAAAAUGCUAAGUCAAAAGGAACUCCCUUAC